rnacentral:RNase_P_RNA from 1 species
GGAGUCGGCCAGACAGCCGCUGCUCGACCACGUUCGCGUGGCCGGGUGGAGGAAAGUCCGGGCUCCAUAGAGCAGGGUGCCAGGUAACGCCUGGGCGGCGUGAGCCGAUGGAAAGCGCCACAGAAAAUACACCGCCGAAGUCGCCUGAUUUAUUUCAGGGGACUGGUAAGGGUGAAAUGGUGCGGUAAGAGCGCACCGCGCGGGUGGCAACAUCCGUGGCAGGGCAAGCCCCACCCGGAGUAAGGCCAAAUAGGGGAACGAUAGUGCGGCUCGCACUGUUCCCGGGUAGGCCGCACGAGGCGUCUGGCGACAGGCGUCCCAGAUGAAUGGCUGUCCACGACAGAACCCGGCUUAACGGCUGACUCCUUUU